UACGUAGGGGGCAAGCGUUGUCCGGAUUUAUUGGGCGUAAAGAGCGUGUAGGCGGCCAGGUAGGUCCGUUGUGAAAACUCGAGGCUCAACCUCGAGACGCCGAUGGAAACCAUCUGGCUAGAGUCCGGAAGAGGAGAGUGGAAUUCCCGGUGUAGCGGUGAAAUGCGCAGAUAUCGGGAAGAACACCCGUGGCUAAGGCGGCUCUCUGGAACGCAACUGACGCUGAGACGCGAAAGCGUGGGGAGCAAACAGG
rnacentral:rRNA from 1 species